rnacentral:rRNA from 1 species
UACGGAGGGUGCAAGCGUUAAUCGGAAUUACUGGGCGUAAAGCGCACGCAGGCGGUUUGUUAAGUCAGAUGUGAAAUCCCCGGGCUCAACCUGGGAACUGCAUCUGAUGCUGGCAAGCUUGAGUCUCGUGGAGGGGGGUAGAAUUCCAGGUGCAGCGGUGAAAUGCGUAGAGAUCUGGAGGAAUACCGGUGGCGAAGGCGGCCCCCUGGACGAAGACUGACGCUCAGGUGCGAAAGCGUGGGGAGCAAACAGGAUUAGAUACCCUGGUAGUCCACGCCGUAAACGAUGUCGACUUGGAGGUUGUGCCCUUGAGGCGUGGCUUCCGGAGCUAACGCGUUAAGUCGACCGCCUGGGGAGUACGGCCGCAAGGUUAAAACUCAA